AUACCUUUCUCGGCCUUUUGGCUAAGAUCAAGUGUAGUAUCUGUUUUUAUCAGUUUAAUAUCUGAUAUGUAGACCAUGUGUCCACUUUGAUAUUAAAUUUAUUUUUUGUGGGAGAGAAUCAAUUACAAUGGCUUGCCAUUGGGAUUUUCGAGUGUCGCUCAGCACCGUUGCACUAUCGGCAGAGCCUGGCACAUCCCAC
rnacentral:snRNA from 2 species